rnacentral:rRNA from 1 species
UGGGGAAUUUUGGACAAUGGGCGAAAGCCUGAUCCAGCAAUGCCGCGUGUGUGAAGAAGGCCUUCGGGUUGUAAAGCACUUUUGUCCGGAAAGAAAUCCUUGGCUCUAAUACAGUCGGGGGAUGACGGUACCGGAAGAAUAAGCACCGGCUAACUACGUGCCAGCAGCCGCGGUAAUACGUAGGGUGCAAGCGUUAAUCGGAAUUACUGGGCGUAAAGCGUGCGCAGGCGGUUUGCUAAGACCGAUGUGAAAUCCCCGGGCUCAACCUGGGAACUGCAUUGGUGACUGGCAGGCUAGAGUAUGGCAGAGGGGGGUAGAAUUCCACGUGUAGCAGUGAAAUGCGUAGAGAUGUGGAGGAAUACCGAUGGCGAAGGCAGCACCCUGGGCCAAUACUGACGCUCAUGCACGAAAGCGUGGGGAGCAAACAGGAUUUAGAUACCCCUGGUAGUCCACGCCCUAAACGAUGUCAACUAGUUGUUGGGGAUUCAUUUCCUUAGUAACGUAGCUAACGCGUGAAGUUGACCGCCUGGGGAGUACGGUCGCAAGAUUAAAACUCAAUGAAUUGACGGGGUCAUAGCUGUUU